rnacentral:tRNA from 2 species
UAGAGCAUAGCCUAACGCAGCUAUGGCGUCUCCUUUACACUGAGAAGGUAUCCGUGCAAACCGGGUUGCUCUAA